AGAAUCAACGCUGGCGGCGUGCCUAACACAUGCAAGUCGCACGAGAAAGGGACUUCGGUCCUGAGUAAAGUGGCGCACGGGUGAGUAACACGUGAAUCAUCUACCUCCGAAUGGGGAAUAACUGAGAGAAAUCUUAGCUAAUACCGCAUAAUACCUACGGGUCAAAGCAGCAAUGCGUUUGGAGAGGAGUUCGCGGUCGAUUAGUUAGUUGGAGGGGUAAUGGCCCACCAAGACGAUGAUCGAUAUCCGGCCUGAGAGGGCGCACGGACACACUGGAACUGAAACACGGUCCAGACUCCUACGGGAGGCAGCAGUGGGGAAUUUUGCGCAAUGGGGGAAACCCUGACGCAGCAACGCCGCGUGGAGGAUGAAAUAUCUUGGUAUGUAAACUCCUUUCGAUGGGGAAGAUAAUGACGGUACCCAUAGAAGAAGCCCCGGCUAACUUCGCGCCAGCAGCCGC
rnacentral:rRNA from 1 species